rnacentral:piRNA from 1 species
UUUGAACAAAAGGUGCCAAUCCCUGAAUA